GACGUAGGAUGCAAGCGUUGUCCGGAUUUAUUGGGUUUAAAGGGUGCGUAGGCGGCCCUGUAAGUCAGUGCUGAAAUAUCCCGGCUUAACCGGGAGGGUGGCAUUGAUACUGCGGGGCUAGAGUACAGAUGAGGUAGGCGGAAUUGACGGUGUAGCGGUGAAAUGCUUAGAUAUCGUCAAGAACACCUAUAGCGAAGGCAGCUUACUAGGCUGUAACUGACGCUGAGGCACGAAAGUGUGGGGAUCAAACAGG
rnacentral:rRNA from 1 species